rnacentral:rRNA from 1 species
UUCUUUAAAUGAGGACUCGUAUCAACGGCAUCACGAGGAUCCUACUGUCUCCCCCCUCUAAUCGGUGAAACUGAUCUCUCCGUGAAGAAGCGGAGAUGUACAUAUAAGACGAGAAGACCCCAUGGAGCUUUAAACCCAACAACACCCGCCCCCCUCCAAAUCCUAUUAUUUACCCGGUGAUUGUUUGUUUGGUUUUAGGUUGGGGUGACCGCGGAGUAUAAGAUAUCCUCCAUGAAAAAAAGCUAACUGCCCUUAUUAGAGAAAGACACUUCCAAAAAAUAAUAAAUUAAUUUUAAAUGAUCCGACUUCGAUCAACGAACCAAGUUACCCUGGGGAUAACAGCGCAAUCCGUCCCGAGAGCCCCUAUCGACAGGCGGGUUUACGACCUCGAUGUUGGAUCAGGGUAUCCCAGUGGUGCAGCAGCUACUAAAGGUUCGUUUGUUCAACGAUUAAAACCCU